rnacentral:rRNA from 2 species
UUUAUUGGAGAGUUUGAUCCUGGCUCAGGAUGAACGCUGGCGGCGUGCCUAAUACAUGCAAGUCGAGCGAAUGGAUUAAGAGCUUGCUCUUAUGAAGUUAGCGGCGGACGGGUGAGUAACACGUGGGUAACCUGCCCAUAAGACUGGGAUAACUCCGGGAAACCGGGGCUAAUACCGGAUAACAUUUUGAACCGCAUGGUUCGAAAUUGAAAGGCGGCUUCGGCUGUCACUUAUGGAUGGACCCGCGUCGCAUUAGCUAGUUGGUGAGGUAACGGCUCACCAAGGCAA